AGUCGAGGGGCAGCAUUUUAGUUUGCUUGCAACUGAAGAUGGCGACCGGCGCACGGGUGAGUAACACGUAUCCAACCUGCCGAUAACUCCGGGAUAGCCUUUCGAAAGAAAGAUUAAUACCGGAUAGCAUACGAAUAUCGCAUGAUAUUUUUAUUAAAGAAUUUCGGUUAUCGAUGGGGAUGCGUUCCAUUAGCUUGUUGGCGGGGUAACGGCCCACCAAGACUACGAUGGAUAGGGGUUCUGAGAGGAAGGUCCCCCACAUUGGAACUGAGACACGGUCCAAACUCCUACGGGAGGCAGCAGUGAGGAAUAUUGGUCAAUGGGCGCGAGCCUGAACCAGCCAAGUAGCGUGAAGGAUGAAGGCUCUAUGGGUCGUAAACUUCUUUUAUAUGGGAAUAAAGUUUUCCACGUGUGGAAUUUUGUAUGUACCAUAUGAAUAAGGAUCGGCUAACUCCGUGCCAGCAGCCGCGGUAAUACGGAGGAUCCGAGCGUUAUCCGGAUUUAUUGGGUUUAAAGGGAGCGUAGGUGGAUUGUUAAGUCAGUUGUGAAAGUUUGCGGCUCAACCGUAAAAUUGCAGUUGAAACUGGCAGUCUUGAGUACAGUAGAGGUGGGCGGAAUUCGUGGUGUAGCGGUGAAAUGCUUAGAUAUCACGAAGAACUCCGAUUGCGAAGGCAGCUCACUAGACUGUCACUGACACUGAUGCUCGAAAGUG
rnacentral:rRNA from 1 species